rnacentral:rRNA from 1 species
UACGGAGGAUCCAAGCGUUAUCCGGAUUUAUUGGGUUUAAAGGGUGCGUAGGUGGUCUAUUAAGUCAGGGGUGAAAGACGGCAGCUUAACUGUCGCAGUGCCUUUGAUACUGAUGGACUUGAAUGAACUAGAGGUAGGCGGAAUGUGACAAGUAGCGGUGAAAUGCAUAGAUAUGUCACAGAACACCAAUUGCGAAGGCAGCUUACUAUGGUUUUAUUGACACUGAGGCACGAAAGCGUGGGGAUCAAACAGGAUUAGAUACCCUGGUAGUCCACGCCCUAAACGAUGAAUACUCGAUGUUGGCGAUAUACGGUCAGCGUCUAAGCGAAAGCGUUAAGUAUUCCACCUGGGGAGUACGCCCGCAAGGGUGAAACUCAAAGGAAUUGACGGGGGCCCGCACAAGCGGAGGAGCAUGUGGUUUAACUCGAUGAUACGCGAGGAACCUUACCCGGGCUUGAAAGUUAGUGAAUGGAGCAGAGACGCUCCAGUCCUUCGGGACACGAAACUAGGUGCUGCAUGGCUGUCGUCAGCUCGUGCCGUGAGGUGUUGGGUUAAGUCCCGCAACGAGCGCAACCCCUAUGUUUAGUUGCCAGCAUGUAAAGGUGGGGACUCUAAACAGACUGCCUAUGCAAGUAGAGAGGAAGGAGGGGACGACGUCAAGUCAUCAUGGCCCUUACGUCCGGGGCUACACACGUGCUACAAUGGGCAGUACAGAGGGCAGCUACCUGGCAACAGGAUGCCAAUCUCCAAAAGCUGUUCACAGUUCGGAUCGGGGUCUGCAACUCGACCCCGUGAAGUUGGAUUCGCUAGUAAUCGCGUAUCAGCAAUGACGCGGUGAAUACGUUCCCGGGCCU